AAUGGAGUAAAAUAUGAAGAUCUAAAUGACUGUAUUGAUGAUUCAUGAAUUGGGUAGCAUCCCAUCUUAGCAGAUACAAAGGAGUUCUGAGGAGCUGUACAGAACAGAAGCCUCUUAUAGCCUCUUAUAGGAAGAGAAGGGAAGUUUCUAGCAAAGGCAAGUUUACCUUCCUUUGGGGGAAAGCAGAGGAGAGGCAUCUGUUGGGCAGAUUAUCUCCCAAGGGCUGACCAGAUCAAUCCAGAUCGAUGGGGCAAAGGUCAUACUUUGGUGGGAGGUGUGGAAACCCCAAUUCGAUCAGGUAUUAAGUCUUGGUUUGCUGAUGUGGAGCUUAGCACAAGUGACUCCAUUUUGGACCUGUUUCUUUUUUAGCAGACUCAAUGGAGCGGCGCCCCUAGUUCAGGGGAAGACUCCAUGAUCUCCCAUAGGUCUUCAAGUUCAGAGGCAAACCCCACCAUCCAGCCCAGCUCCAGCUCCACAAGUCCAGGGUUGGCGCCCACCUUCCCACAACCAGAAACAGUCACCCCCUCCCAGUUCUGGCUCCCCCAGUUCAGAGCUCACCACUACCUCCCACUCCGCAAAUUUCCACCAACUUGACCCUGCAUUGGAGCUCCUCUUCUCCCAGCCCCAGAACAGAGCCCCCCUCCAUGCCCUCCAACACCACUGAUGGGACCUCUGUGGCCACUGGCCCUGGGAGCUGCGAGCCAAAGCUCAUCUUUUGCCCAUCACCCACCAGAGUGAUCUCCAUGGGGCUGAGAAGGAGGGGCGCUUGGAUGGAGCAGGCGCACCUGGGAGGGGCUAGCCUUGCCAGAAUAAAGCCCUUACUGUUCCUCUGUGGCCUCCUGAGUCAUGGACUCCUGUGACAAACAUUUCUGGGUGCCUACUAUGUGCUGGGGUCAGAGUGGGGACCAUUUCUCUACCCUCAUGGGGCCCAUAGUUUCAAAGGUGGGGACAGACGAUAGCCAGGGGCUCAAAUGACAUCAUUUCAGAUGGCACAGAGGGUCAUGGAGUCACAGAUUGGGGCUGUGGCCGCAUCCCAAGGGCCUAUGUGUGCAGGUUUUUUGAGAGGGUGGAGAGGGCUUGAUAUUUCAACCAAGACCUGAGAGGUGGGAAGGACCCUCCUUGGAGAAAGUUGAGAGAACGGGCGUCCCAGGAAGCAGGCACAGCAAGCACAAAGGCCCUGUGGUAGGAAGAACUUGAAAUAUUUGGGAAACGACAAAGAAGUGAGUGGAGUCAGAGUAGGGUGAGGGAGAGGUGAGUGGGGCACUGCACUGGCUAGGGGUUUUAGCCCAAACAUCGCCAGCCAGUAAGUUCCACAAUCUGGUAGGUCUUCCUUCAAGUCUUUGGGAGGGCAGAUUGGCAGGGGGAGAAGGCUUUCCUGGGGCAGGAACAACCUGUGCAAAGGCUUGGAGGCAGGAAGGCACCAGAAGCAG
rnacentral:lncRNA from 1 species